CACCCUGCAGGAGAUCACACUUGCCACCACUGUCCCUUCCAUUAAUUCCAUGGCAGCACAUGCCAUUUGUCUGCCUUGUUCAGUGCUCUCGUGUUAAUAACUGUGCAACUGGUUGUUAUUUCUUUCAUAACCAUUACCAUAGCUGCCUGUUGUUGAUAAUUCAGGGUUAAUUACUUACUAAAAAGUUUAGCAGAACAAUUUACCUUCGCUUAGCCUGUUCAUUGAUGAAGACUAUAAAUGCCUGCAGUCUAUCACUGAUAGAGACAUUACUGGAGUUUGGUAUAAUUGGCUUUUACUGAAGUGCUGCAGCAAAAAUGAGGGUUAGGCUAACUGGCAAAGUCAGCAGCCUGCUUGUACACCUGCUUGGUUUUCCAUUCAAUUUUGGGCAACUACUUGGCCGGAGAACUGCCACAGUAACUUACCAGGUUCACUUAUGUAUCCAUUCACAUUGCAGCAGUGUGCAGCGUAGAUACAGCUACAGAAGUGCUGAAGCCUCGCGUUAAAAAGGACAUCACGGCAGCUGUAAACAGUCCAGCAUUUCAGUUACGUUUACAGCGCUGGGCUGAUUUAUCACAAAUACAUCUUACUGGAGAUAGACAUACCUACAACAAGACUUAAAUGAUAACGUUCCCUCUGUUUUAUGGAAAAAGUGGGGGGGAAAUUGCCAAGAAGAAUCGUCAUUAAAGGUAAUGUCUCUCCAGUCAGUUUUCUGUGGUCUGGCAGCCUCCUGUUCGCUGAAAUUUUGAAUCUAGGAGUUGUUACAGACAGAAAGCUGUGGAUAUAUGCACUGCUCUCGGUUUCCAGUGAAAUAGAUGGGAACUGGGACCCCUUUCGGCAAUGAGCUCUUUCUGACCGUGCAGUUGGGAGUCCCCAUCUCCUGAUUCCCAGCAGUGGAAGAAAGGCCAUGUGCUCCCACCCAAGGGAAGGUGGGGUUUAGCAUUACACUCCUUUAGAGCAAAACUGGACUCUGGAAACUUCACCCAGCUCUCUGAUUUUACUUGCAUUACACUAUUCGCAGUGAAUUGAGGCUGACUGUGUGCAUUGUGGUACUCUGCAUUCAUUUAAGCCUUCACAACAUAGGGCUGUGCAACAGGUCGUCGAUAGCCUUUGGCUGCUCUAGGCACUGACAAGCAAGUGAAAGCAAGACAGUUCCCCUCUUAGACACUUUUUAAAUCCAGCAUGGUGCUGUCUUCAUCUUUGGAUGCCUAAGUAUCCUAAAUAUGCCUAAAUAUCUUCAUAUUAAAUUAUGAGCAAGAAAGUGAUUAAUUGUUCCCUGACCUUCAAUUUCUUCACUGAGACUGUGUCACCAAACCAUAUUUUAUGUCACUAGGAGACAGCAGAUGUAAAUCAAAUAUCUGCCUGCUGUAGAAUAUCUAACAAGGGAGGAAAUUACUUCCAUCCGUUAACGCAGACAGAUUUUCUUGAGAGGAUUUUCUGCCUUCCAAAUUCAGUUUUAAAAUGCAAUUUCAUCCUCACAGGUCUGCCUGUUGGUUUCCAGCACAAGGGGCAUUGCCUCAGUUGGUUUGCAGCACUGGCAAGAACAACAACCUGCCACUCUCUCUCAUCUUCUGAAUGCUUUUUUUCACUACAUAAUUUAAAAACUAUAAAUAAUUUAUUAAAAAAACCCAACACCCAAGAUAAAUUUAGAUUUUGGGUUUCUUCAGAAGGAAAGGUAGUGGGUAUACUUGCUCAAGAAAUUAAAUUAUAAUUAGCUCAAAAGAAGACUGGACCCCAUACACUUUAUUUCUGUGGUCCAAGACCGAACACGCAGUAAGUAGAGAGGGGACUUUUUUCCCAAAUAACCGGCAAGAAAUGACAGCGGGCCUCAGGUCUCUGAGAACACCUGUGUUUGCAGCACACAACAUCUGCACAUCGUGUAGCCACAUCUGUGGCUGCCACGAGAACUGGGAGGCCAGUUCUCCCUUUGCAUGCAAUGGGGAGAGAGCAGCGCUCUGACCCCUGCUGACUUGUGCCAUCCACGUUGCUGCUCCUGCUUGCUCAGGUACGCUGGGCACUGCAGCCCCCACUGAACCUGGUAUAUUUACAGUCUGUGGCAGAAUGGGCCUCCCCCUUUGGCAGUGCUUUGUAAUUUCCUUUCCUCAGUUUGUCCUCUUAGGAUUUUGCAUCAGCAGCAUUCAACGCUGUCAGAUCAUUGUUAUCAGCAUGUUCUUCAGGCCUAGCUGUAUGAGGUAGUGAGUAUUUUCAACUCACAUCAGCUCCAAAGCAAGCACCAUUGAAAACUAAAGAAAUUUAAAAAACCUUAAACAAAAAAAUCAAGCUUAGGAGUUGCCUCAUUGCUGUGUUGUCCCUGUGCAUUCAUUUUUCUGUUCAGAUUAGUCAUGCACUUGCAGAACAGGAAGUUCACAACAGGGCAGCCAAAUCUCAUGUUCAGAAUUAGGACCCUGGAAGGAAAAACCAGCAUGUAAACUAGAAAAAUAUUAGCCCAUAAUUGCACUGAAAUCUCAAAGCUUAAUGCAAGAUGUGUUCAUAAGUGCUUUUGCUGGAAGAGACAGCCUCUGCCAUGGAAUUACAUAUUUAAGCUCUGUGGAAAAGAUUUGUUUACUGAGUGACAAAGGCAUACACCCUAGGUGGCUGGUCAGAGAGAGUGCUGUGUAAUCAUCACAGGCUGCAACACAAAAAGAACAGUUUGAAGACCUUUGACAUUUGAUUAGUAUGUUUCUCUUUUACAGAGUGAAGAGAGUUUGGACCUUAAAAGGAAAAUGAGCCAAGGCUUUAAUUAGUGGGGCCACAGAGAAAGAAAUGAAGAAUGACUGGAGAGAGCAGUGAGACCCCAGUCAAUGUGGGGCAGGAGGCUGAGGGGCAGGUCACCUCUCUGGAGAGGGCUGCAGUGGCAGGACACCGCCGGGAAGCACGGCCUCCGGCACGGCUCCGUGGUGGGCAGGUCCCGCUAUCUGCACCGCUCUGGGGCCUCUCCUGCCCUGGGCAUAGGUGCCAGACACAGCAGCAGCAGAGGGGCUGCCAGCCAGCUUGGGAACUCGCACGGCCACCCAGUAGUUUCUCCUCUUGAAUCUGGGUAGAUUACUUCCUCCUGAUUCUUGGUAAAAAUGUGAUCCAGUAUUGAGACUUCAGGUUAUUAUCCUGAUGCCUGCAGGCAUCUUUCCAUGUGAAAAAAAUGUUAAGGACUUUUUCUCCAGGAUACUACGUGCUUUGCUAAUAAACCACUUUGGAGAUCCUUAAAAGAAUAAUGUUCCUGGGGGCGGAAGAAGUGAUGUGCUGGUUUUACCCUCUCCUCACCCUUUGUGUUUUUGAGUGGCACAACAUGACAUGUUGCAAUUCAUCUGUCAUUUUCACAUUUGGAGAAGUGGUCAGAAUGGAGCAAUCCAGCCAUCCCAGCUGAAUACACUGUUGUUAACUGACAGAUGUCUUGAGUCCAACAGGAGUUGCGAGGCUGUUGUGGAGGUGCUGACUUUUAAAUUCCAAUUGCAUGCAGAACCUUGGCAUAUUGUCAGCAUGUACAAUUUUCAAUUUCACGGGACAUUUCUUUGAGUGUUACCAGUGGAUUUUGUUUUACCUUCAUCCUCCCUUUUUGUUAACACUGCAGGAAUUAUUUCUUGGGGCCCUCUCCUGUCUCACCUGAUACUGCAUGCACUAAGUGAUUCCUGGGGGGUUUCUGCGGGCAGAGACCUGAGCUUGCACGAGUGCAUGCGUAGGUACACUCACAUACAAAUGCCGGACAACUCGGUAACAUGAAAGCUAUCACAGGCCAUUUUACUACAGUCCUAACGAUUGAAAGGUAUUUAGGUUAGUAUAAAACCAGGUUUCAGCUCCGGUCAGCUUUUCUUUGCAGAAUACGGGGAACAGCUGCCAGGCUGGCGGGCGCUGCCUGAACAAAGGUCUCCUUCUACUCUGAGUGGCCUCGGGGGGAAGCUGCUGCUGCAUCUGGCUGGCCUGGCAGCAGAGCCCAAAAUAGGGAUUUGCCCUGUACAGCUGUGGAGGUCAGACAAUCCAGGGCUGUAUUUUAUAUAUGUAUAUUUUAAGUGUGGGAGUACAUUUUUCUCCUACAACCUACUCAGACCAUGGAGAGAAGCAGAGCGGGCUGAAUCAGUUCCUCAGACACUACCCUUUUGCAUAUUUUUACCUUAUUUUUAAGUAUCCAAAGCAGGGUAAGCACAGCUCUGAGCUUUUUUACCAAGAUCUGACCACUCUAAUUUCAAGAGAUGAAACUUCGGUUUCAAUGUGUUAAAAUGAAAAUAUCGGCAUUUUCAAGCUAAAAUGUAACAUGUUGAAUUAUUAUUACGUCGAGACUGAUACAGCACUCUCAUCAAUUGAUCAAACUUUGCUUAGUUAGACUACUGAACUUGCUUUUCUCUUCUUUGGUCAAAUUAGCACAGUCAUAUUUGUAAUUGAACUCAGUGGUAGCCAAGGCUAUAAAGGCAUAUAAAUGCAAAUACCUGCCUCUCCAAAGUCUUCAGUCUCGCUAAUAAUGAAGCUCACAGAAGCACAUUCAGAUCAAAAUCGAUGCUAGCUAAACCAGGAAAAAAUUCACUUACAGAGGCUCAUUUUGGAUCCUUCUACAUGCAUAAAGGAAGAGUAAUUAUCUCUGUACAUGUAGAAAUUUAUCUUUUCUUAUUAUAUCCAUUCUGUGGACAAACUGUUGAGUUCACUGCUUGGAUAAAAGCUUUCUAAAACACUUCAAUAAUUCCCCAAACACUCAACACAACCCACACUGGCUUUUUCUUUUU